rnacentral:tRNA from 1 species
UGACUCGUGGCUCAAUUGGUAAAGAACCUGCCUGCAAUGCAGGAGACAUGGGUUUGAUCCCUGGGUCAG